CCCCUCUCUCCCUCUCUCCCUCUCUCGUUCCAGACUCUUCUUUUUCUUGGUUUCAAUCUUCACCUCUUGAUUUCUCCUUCAAUAUUUAGUAUUUUUAAGAGUCGUUUGCGACUAUUCGAAGCCCACGACAAGACCUACAAGUUGAUGGGAGCAAUUCCUUGGUUGGUGCACUAUAGGAAAUUCGAAAAUCCUAGGGUUUGAGGUGAAAAUUGGGGGUUUUGCAUAAAAUUGAGGUCAUGGGAAGGAAUUGGCGGAUGAUAAUCCACCGCAAGCUUGAAAGUUGUUAGAGGACCAUUUGCCAUUUUGUACUUAGGCCAUUCUUUUAUAUGUCUAUUGUUUUGGAAAUGUAACAAAUGUUAUUAUUCAUGACCUUGUAACUCAAGUAUGAGAUUUAGCUUUUAUUUGAUGUAAAUGGAACUAAUGUAAGCAUUAUAUUUAACGUCAUGUAAUUGUAAUAAAUAAUCUUGUAAGA